rnacentral:snRNA from 1 species
UUGCUUUGGCAGCACAUAUACUGAAAUUAGUAUGAUACAGAGAAAAUUAGCAUAGCCCCUGUGUAAGGAUGACAUGCAAAUUCGUGAAGUGUUCCAUAUUUUU